UAGUUUACUACAUCAUAGUUUUGAUUUCUUAAUCUUAAUUAUGUAUUAAUCCUCAAUGUAGAAAAUAAUACAAAUAAAGAAAAAACAUUGAAUGAGAAGGUGUGUCUAAACUUUUGACUGUUACUGUAGACUUGUAAAAGUGAACUGACUCCUUGUACUGAGUGGACUUUUGCCCUCUGUGUUGGGGAUGAGCUCCUCCACUACGCAAACACGCAAACGCCUAUUGGCCCACUGGUGGAUUUUAGUCUGCACGCCACUGAUGGUGCCAAUUCUGGUCCACUUUCGGACCACCAUCAUUUUUAUAGCGUGGAUAUAAGAAAAUAACAUUCCAGGAUUUGCUAAUAUUUUAAGUCAUACCCUUUGCAUAGUGCGUUUAAAAUACCAACUGCUAAACAUAAAAUGUUCAAAGCUCUCAAUGUGAAAAAUGGAGUAGGCUGUUCCUGUAGUUUAAUGCAUAAUUACAAGGAGCUUUAUAUAAUAUUUCUUAAAAGAUAAACAUAGCCAAUACCAUUAAAAAUGAUGACGGUCUCUCACCACAGGGACACUACAAUGUAAACUGCAGCCUUGGUUGUCUUGAGUACUGCACACGUCUUUGGUACCGCGGAAGUGUCAGUCAGGAAGGGUUGCUGUUAAUAACAGGAACUAGCAAGCCCAGUGAGGUCUCCACGUUUGGUGCAUUCAUGAAAAAGAAAAAUGCGUCUUGGGAUACCCAUUUUUGUGCUGGCUUGCUUAGGUGUUUGUCUGGGUGAUGGUAGUGAUGGAGCAGUCUUAGAUGCUGCUGGACCUGCAAAAGGACAUGAGCCAGAUAUACUGCCUGUCGAGACAAAACCUGCUAAUACAAACACAGGUGAAGUUGGACCAGCUGUUAAUUCUCCAGCAGGACAAGGCAAGACAGUUAAUUCUCCAGCAGGACAAGGCAAGACAGUUCAUUCUCCAGCAGGACAAGGCAAGACAUUUGAUUCUCCAGCAGGACCAGGCAAGACAGUUGAUUCUCCAGCAGGACAAGGCAAGACAGUUGAUUCUCCAGCAGGACAAGGCAAGACAGUUGAUUCUCCAGCAGGACCAGGCAAGACAGUUGAUUCUCCAGCAGGACCAGGCAAGACAGUUAAUUUUCCAGCAGGACAAGGCAAGACAAACACACAGACACAAGACAUCACACAGCGGACUACCGUACAGAUUCCCAUUUCACAAAAUAGUGGCUCCACAAUAAAGACAGAUGCCAAGAUGACACAGUCUGCAGACAAGGCAGAGAUUGAAAAUUCCUCAGAAAAGGAACACCCUGUCAAGAGUAACUCAGAUGGAAAAGCAAUCCCCACUGGAACGAAACACACAGAUGAUGAUCCCUCCAAAGUAAAAAAAGAAAAAGACAGUAUUGAUAAAGCAGGAGAGGUAAACUCUACCGGAAAAUCAGGCUCCGCCGGAAAUGACACGAAAAAGGGUGAAGCAACA